AGUUCUAGAUGUUCUUCGAAGAUGGUUUGGUGUGCGAUUCUGCGAUCAACUCAUCAUGCCUAGUGAAGAGGUGCUGGAAUUCCUUCAUGAACUUUUUGAUACAUUGAGGAAUGAGGGAUACACCAUUACUGAAUCAGAGGCUGUCAAUUUUUUCCCCAUGCUUGAUUGAUAAGGUUUCUUGUGUUGCUGCUGGUUUAACAGAUGCAAUACUUGCUGUGAAAGAUCAUAAGGAUCUUUUUCAUUGGUUAUCAAGGCCACUUACUGGAUCAAGUGAUUUUUCUGAUGCUUCACAUUUGCUAAAACCAGUUGCCUCUGCUAUGACGGAUAAAUCAGCGGAAGUUUGCAAGGUAGCAAAAGCAUGCAUUGGUGAAAUUUUAAGAGUUUGCGGACCAGAAACACUGCGUUGGCUUCAAAAUUCUUUGGUGUUACCUUUGGUUUGUUGAAAUUUAUAGAACUCUUGAGAUUAUUAUAAUUAUCAUUUUUCUUGGUGACAAAAAAUUUGAAAGAUAUACAUGGACCUGCCUUGGCUAUUGUUCUCGAACGGCUGAAGCCAUAUAGGGCUUUUCAAGGCGAUUCUUCAUAAAAUUUGCUUAGAUGUUAUAUUGGUUUUGUUGGCUGUGUUACUUAGCUAAUCUAACUUGUUUGCUUCCAGGAAAACGUUUGAAUCAUCAAAAAACAAUACCAACAUCUAAAAUUGGCUCAAAGGUUAGGAAGUCUAGUAUCAACGAUCUUGGAGAUCGUGUACCAUGGCAUGUGAUAGGGGAAAAGGUACAACAGUCAGCAACAAAGGAAAAGCCGAGGGCCAAUCGGAAGCAAUCAAACAGUUAUAAUUCAAAAGAGUUACACGAUAAAGUGAAAUUGAAAUUCAAUUUCCUGGGAAGUCUCCUUAAAUUUGCAACAAACUAAUUUUCCACGGUAGCUAUAAAGUAGGUCCAUAGCAACCAAUCAGGUACGAUAAAAAUAAUUGCCUUAUGCUUCUGUUUAUUUUCCUGGUGACUGACUUUACCAUCGGAGGGUUUUUGGCAGGCACGAAACCGGUGUCAAAGCGGUGCCAUUUCAGAUCAACUGAAGACGAGGUCUUCAGUAUGCUUUUACCUGCUUGAAAGGAUGAUACAGACAGAAUGGUUAUCCAAAGGUCUAAAUUCUAAGAGCCAUGGUCAGAGGAAAUUCAAGUUCUUGAGAAUGGUCUUAUGAAGUAUUUCAGAGAAGAUCUGCACAGGAGGCUUCUUGGCAAAAACUUCAAAUAGUUAAUGGUAUUGAGAUGCUGCAGAAGGCGCUUUUAUCCAUUGAAAAGGAAAUAAUUGAAGCUCUAGAUGUUCUUCUAAGAUUGUAUGGUUUGCGAUUCUGCGAAUCUAACUCAUUGUGCCUAUUGAAGGUGAAGUA